rfam:Triticum aestivum genome assembly, contig: Triticum_aestivum_CS42_TGACv1_scaffold_571188_7AS
UAUGUACUCCCUCCGUCCGAAAAAGCUUGUCCCUCAAAUGGAUGUAUCUAACACCAAGUUAGUGCUAGAUACAUCCAUUUGAGGGACAAGCUUGGGACAAGUUUUUUCGAACGGAGGGAGUACUGC